UGCCAGCCUCCGCUGUACUACUAAUGUGGCGAUCGUUGUUCGGAAUUACUGGGCGUAAAGGGCGCGUAGGCGGUCUUUUAAGUUAGGCGUGAAAGCCCCGGGCUCAACCCGGGAACUGCGCUUAAAACUGGAAGACUAGAAACGGAAGAGGGUAGUGGAAUUCCCAGUGUAGAGGUGAAAUUCGUAGAUAUUGGGAAGAACACCAGUGGCGAAAGCGGCUACCUGGUCCGAUUUUGACGCUGAGGCGCGAAAGCGUGGGGAGCAAACAGGAUUAGAUA
rnacentral:rRNA from 1 species